UCCUACGGGGGGCAGCAGUGGGGGAUAUUGCACAAUGGGGGGAACCCUGAUGCAGCGACGCCGCGUGGGCGAUGGAGUACUUCGGUAUGUAAAGCCCUAUCAGCAGGGAAGAAAAUGACGGUACCUGACUAAGAAGCCCCGGCUAAAUACGUGCCAGCAGCCGCGGUAAUACGUAGGGGGCAAGCGUUAUCCGGAAUUACUGGGUGUAAAGGGAGCGUAGACGGCUGUGCAAGUCUGGAGUGAAAGGCGGGGGCCCAACCCCCGGACUGCUCUGGAAACUGUAUGGCUGGAGUGCAGGAGAGGUA
rnacentral:rRNA from 1 species